UACGAAGGGGGCUAGCGUUGCUCGGAAUUACUGGGCGUAAAGCGCACGUAGGCGGAUUGUUAAGUCGGGGGUGAAAUCCUGGAGCUCAACUCCAGAACUGCCUUCGAUACUGGCGAUCUCGAGUUCGGGAGAGGUGAGUGGAACUGCGAGUGUAGAGGUGAAAUUCGUAGAUAUUCGCAAGAACACCAGUGGCGAAGGCGGCUCACUGGCCCGAUACUGACGCUGAGACGCGAAAGCGUGGGGAGCAAACAGG
rnacentral:rRNA from 1 species